rnacentral:misc_RNA from 1 species
GAUGAAGAACGUAGCGAAAUGCGAUACUUGGUGUGAAUUGCAGAAUCCCGUGAACCAUCGAGUCUUUGAACGCAAGUUGCGCCCGAAGCCAUUUGGUUGAGGGCACGUCUGCCUGGGCGUCACAUAUCGUUGCCCGAUGCCCAUUGCACUGUGAUAGGAAAUUCUAGGGCGAAAGAUGGCUUCCCGUGAGCGUUGUUGCCUCGCGGUUGGUUGAAAAUUGAGUCCUUGGUAGGGUGUGCCAUGAUAGAUGGUGGUCGAGUUUGCACGAGACCGAUCAUGUGUGCGCUCCCCAAAAUAUGGACUCUUUGACCCCACACGCGUCUUUUGACGCUCAUGACGAGACCUCAGGUCAGGCGGGGCUACCCGCUGAGUUUAAGCAUAUCAAUAAGCGGAGGA